rnacentral:rRNA from 1 species
CACUAUCGUUAACUGAAUACAUAGGUUAACGAGGCGAACCGGGGGAACUGAAACAUCUAAGUACCCCGAGGAAAAGAAAUCAACCGAGAUUCCCCCAGUAGCGGCGAGCGAACGGGGAGCAGCCCAGAGUCUGAAUCAGCUUGUGUGUUAGUGGAACGGUCUGGAAAGUCCGACGGUACAGGGUGAUAGUCCCGUACACCAAAAUGCACAGGUUGUGAACUCGAAGAGUAGGGCGGGACACGUGGUAUCCUGUCUGAAUAUGGGGGGACCAUCCUCCAAGGCUAAAUACUCCUGACUGACCGAUAGUGAACCAGUACCGUGAGGGAAAGGCGAAAAGAACCCCGGCGAGGGGAGUGAAAAAGAACCUGAAACCGUGUACGUACAAGCAGUGGGAGCACCUUCGGGUGUGACUGCGUACCUUUUGUAUAAUGGGUCAGCGACUUAUAUUCUGUAGCAAGGUUAACCGUAUAGGGGAGCCGCAGGGAAACCGAGUCUUAACUGGGCGUUAAGUUGCAGGGUAUAGACCCGAAACCCGGUGAUCUAGCCAUGGGCAGGUUGAAGGUUGGGUAACACUAACUGGAGGACCGAACCGACUAAUGUUGAAAAAUUAGCGGAUGACUUGUGGCUGGGGGUGAAAGGCCAAUCAAACCGGGAGAUAGCUGGUUCUCCCCGAAAGCUAUUUAGGUAGCGCCUCGUGAAUUCAUCUUCGGGGGUAGAGCACUGUUUCGGCUAGGGGGUCAUCCCGACUUACCAACCCGAUGCAAACUACGAAUACCGAAGAAUGUUAUCACGGGAGACACACGGCGGGUGCUAACGUCCGUCGUGAAGAGGGAAACAACCCAGACCGCCAGCUAAGGUCCCAAAGUCAUGGUUAAGUGGGAAACGAUGUGGGAAGGCACAGACAGCCAGGAUGUUGGCUUAGAAGCAGCCAUCAUUUAAAGAAAGCGUAAUAGCUCACUGGUCGAGUCGGCCUGCGCGGAAGAUGUAACGGGGCUAAACCAUGCACCGAAGCUGCGGCAGCGACACUAUGUGUUGUUGGGUAGGGGAGCGUUCUGUAAGCCUGCGAAGGUGACCUGUGAGGGUUGCUGGAGGUAUCAGAAGUGCGAAUGCUGACAUAAGUAACGAUAAAGCGGGUGAAAAGCCCGCUCGCCGGAAGACCAAGGGUUCCUGUCCAACGUUAAUCGGGGCAGGGUGAGUCGACCCCUAAGGCGAGGCCGAAAGGCGUAGUCGAUGGGAAACAGGUUAAUAUUCCUGUACUUGGUGUUACUGCGAAGGGGGGACGGAGAAGGCUAUGUUAGCCGGGCGACGGUUGUCCCGGUUUAAGCAUGUAGGCUGGUUAUCCAGGCAAAUCCGGAUAAUCAAGGCUGAGGUGUGAUGACGAGGUACUACGGUGCUGAAGUAACAAAUGCCCUGCUUCCAGGAAAAGCCUCUAAGCAUCAGGUAACAUCAAAUCGUACCCCAAACCGACACAGGUGGUCAGGUAGAGAAUACCAAGGCGCUUGAGAGAACUCGGGUGAAGGAACUAGGCAAAAUGGUGCCGUAACUUCGGGAGAAGGCACGCUGGUGUGUAGGUGAAGUCCCUGCGGAUGGAGCUGAGACCAGUCGAAGAUACCAGCUGGCUGCAACUGUUUAUUAAAAACACAGCACUGUGCAAACACGAAAGUGGACGUAUACGGUGUGACGCCUGCCCGGUGCCGGAAGGUUAAUUGAUGGGGUUAUCCGUAAGGAGAAGCUCUUGAUCGAAGCCCCGGUAAACGGCGGCCGUAACUAUAACGGUCCUAAGGUAGCGAAAUUCCUUGUCGGGUAAGUUCCGACCUGCACGAAUGGCGUAAUGAUGGCCAGGCUGUCUCCACCCGAGACUCAGUGAAAUUGAACUCGCUGUGAAGAUGCAGUGUACCCGCGGCAAGACGGAAAGACCCCGUGAACCUUUACUAUAGCUUGACACUGAACAUUGAGCCUUGAUGUGUAGGAUAGGUGGGAGGCUUUGAAGCGUGGACGCCAGUCUGCGUGGAGCCAACCUUGAAAUACCACCCUUUAAUGUUUGAUGUUCUAACGUUGGCCCCUUAUCGGGGUUGCGGACAGUGUCUGGUGGGUAGUUUGACUGGGGCGGUCUCCUCCCAAAGCGUAACGGAGGAGCACGAAGGUUAGCUAAUCCUGGUCGGACAUCAGGAGGUUAGUGCAAUGGCAUAAGCUAGCUUGACUGCGAGCGUGACGGCGCGAGCAGGUGCGAAAGCAGGUCAUAGUGAUCCGGUGGUUCUGAAUGGAAGGGCCAUCGCUCAACGGAUAAAAGGUACUCCGGGGAUAACAGGCUGAUACCGCCCAAGAGUUCAUAUCGACGGCGGUGUUUGGCACCUCGAUGUCGGCUCAUCACAUCCUGGGGCUGAAGUAGGUCCCAAGGGUAUGGCUGUUCGCCAUUUAAAGUGGUACGCGAGCUGGGUUUAGAACGUCGUGAGACAGUUCGGUCCCUAUCUGCCGUGGGCGCUGGAGAAUUGAGGGGGGCUGCUCCUAGUACGAGAGGACCGGAGUGGACGCAUCACUGGUGUUCGGGUUGUCAUGCCAAUGGCACUGCCCGGUAGCUAAAUGCGGAAGAGAUAAGUGCUGAAAGCAUCUAAGCACGAAACUUGCCCCGAGAUGAGUUCUCCCUGAGACUUUAAGUCUCCUGAAGGAACGUU